rnacentral:rRNA from 1 species
AAUCAACGCUGGCGGCGUGCCUCAGACAUGCAAGUCGAACGAUUAAAGCUCUCUUCGGAGAGUGCAUAGAGUGGCGCACGGGUGAGUAACACGUAAGUAAUCUACCUUCGAGUGGGGAAUAACGUCCGGAAACGGACGCUAAUACCGCAUAAUGCAGCGGCAUCGCAAGAUGACAGUUGUUAAAGGAGCAAUUCGCUUGAAGAGGAGCUUGCGGCAGAUUAGCUUGUUGGUAAGGUAACGGCUUACCAAGGCUACGAUCUGUAACCGGUCUAAGAGGACGGUCGGUCACACUGACACUGAAUAACGGGUCAGACUCCUACGGGAGGCAGCAGUCGGGAAUUUUGGGCAAUGGGGGAAACCCUGACCAGCAACGCCGCGUGAAGGAUGAAGUAUUUCGGUAUGUAAACUUCGAAAGAAUAGGAAGAAUAAAUGACGGUACUAUUUAUAAGGUCCGGCUAACUACGUGCCAGCCGCCGCUGU